UACUUGAUUGGUGCUUGGGGAUGUUUGAGGCARAUUUGUUUCCSUCGUUUUGAGGCCAGCUUGCUGGUACCCAAACGGUGUUAGCAUUUUUUGUCUUGGRCMUUWGAGUAUGGCUCACGUGUAUUUAUUGGACMGAUCUGAGUGUAAGUUACGGUCGCAUGCGACACGUGCUUUUCAAUUAGUUCGGUCCAGUUAAUGCUCUCGUACUCGUUCCCCAUGUAAAAGCCGGUCAUCUAUCCGACCCGUCUUGAARCACGGACCAAGGAGUUUAUCGUGUGCGCAAGUUUUUGGGUGUUAAAAACYUAAAAGCGAAAUGAAAGUAAAUGACUCUUUAGAGUCUGAUGUGCGAUCUUGUAAAAAAGUGYAGCAUGGCCCCAUUCUAACUGUUUACAGUAGGGUGGCGRAAGAGCGUACGCGGUGAGACCCGAAAGAUGGUGAACUAUUCCUGAGCAGGACRAAGCCAGAGGAAACUCUGGUGGAAGUCCGAAGCGGUUCUGACGUGCAAAUCGAUCGUCUGACUUGGGUAUAGGGGCGAAAGACUAAUCG
rnacentral:rRNA from 1 species